GGGCUGAACCACAGUGACUUUCAUCUCACCGGCCGACGCUAAAUUGCCAGCCGCUGCGGCGAGGAUGAUGGCCAUUGAGACUAUAGCCACUCAUCGCACGAUUCUGCAUUGUGCAGGCAGUCAUUUUUUAUUCCCGCGUGUUCAAAAUCAUUUGAGAAUCUACUUGAUGAGCCCCAGAUAGUUCAGUCCUUCCCCGUAGCGCCCGCCCGGAGAGGCAGAGGAACGCCUGCCAUCUUGGACGCAACUAUUUCUUAUCCAGAAUGGGGGAGCCACAUAUCCGUGUGAAUUUAUUUGCUACAUUAAAAAACCCUUUGGGCUAUAAAUAAACUCAUACAUAUUGAAAAUCAA